rnacentral:rRNA from 1 species
CACGUAGGGCGCAAGCGUUGUCCGGAAUUAUUGGGCGUAAAGAGCUCGUAGGUGGUUUGUUACGUCUGCUGUGAAAACCUAGGGCUUAACCCUGGGCUUGCAGUGGAUACGGGCAGACUAGAGGUAGGUAGGGGAGAAUGGAAUUCCUGGUGUAGCGGUGAAAUGCGCAGAUAUCAGGAGGAACACCGGUGGCGAAGGCGGCCCCCUGGACCGGUACUGACGCUGAGGCGCGAAAGCGUGGGUAGCAAACGGG